rnacentral:rRNA from 1 species
GUCUUUCAGAUAAAAAAUUGAAGGUCUAAUCUGCCCAAUGAUAAUUUAAUGGCCGCGGUAAACUGACCGUGCAAAGGUAGCAUAAUAAUUAGUCUUUUAAUUGAAGGCUUGAAUGAAUGAUUAAAUGAGAAAUUGACUUUAUUAAUAUAAAUUAUUAAAACUUAAUUUUUAAGUCAAAAAGCUUAAAUUUUUAAGUAGGACGAGAAGACCCUAUAGAGUUUAAAAAUAAUUUUAUUAAUUUAAUUAUAGUAUUUUUAUUCAAAUUAAUAAAAUUUUUUUUUUGUUGGGGUGACAUUAUAAAAUAUAUAACUUAUAGUUUAUGUAACAUUCAUAUAUGUAUUAAUGAUCCAUUAUUUAAAAUAUUGAUUGUAAGAAUAAAUUACCUUAGGGAUAACAGCGUUAUUAUCUUUUAGAGUUCAUAUUAAUAAGAUAGUUUGCGACCUCGAUGUUGGAUUAAGAAUAUAAUUUGGAGCAAAAUCUAAAUUUUUAGGUCUGUUCGACCUUUAAAUUCUU